rnacentral:tRNA from 1 species
GAGGGUCUAGCUCAAUAGUAGAGUACAUGCUUAGCAUGCACCUGGUCCUGGGUUCAUUCCCCAGUACCUCCA